rnacentral:rRNA from 1 species
UGGGGAAUAUUGGACAAUGGGCGAAAGCCUGAUCCAGCAAUGCCGCGUGAGUGAUGAAGGCCUUAGGGUUGUAAAGCUCUUUCGCCUGCGACGAUGAUGACGGUAGCAGGAGAAGAAGCCCCGGCUAAUUCCGUGCCAGCAGCCGCGGUAAUACGGAAGGGGCUAGCGUUGUUCGGAAUUACUGGGCGUAAAGCGCGCGUAGGCGGCUGGGUAAGUGUGGCGUGAAAGUCCUGGGCUCAACCUGGGGACGGCGCUGCAGACUGCUUGGCUGGAGUCCGGAAGAGGGUAGUGGAAUUCCGAGUGUAGAGGUGAAAUUCGUAGAUAUUCGGAGGAACACCGGUGGCGAAGGCGGCUACCUGGUCCGGUACUGACGCUGAAGUGCGAAAGCGUGGGGAGCAAACA